UUAAGCAUAUCAAUAAGCGGAGGAAAAGAAACCAACAGGGAUUGCCCUAGUAACGGCGAGUGAAGCGGCAACAGCUCAAAUUUGAAAUCUGGCUUCGGCCCGAGUUGUAAUUUGCAGAGGAAGCUUUAGGCGCGGCACCAACUGAGUCCCCUGGAACGGGGCGCCAUAGAGGGUGAGAGCCCCGUAUAGUUGGACGCUAAGCCUGUGUAAAGCUCCUUCGACGAGUCGAGUAGUUUGGGAAUGCUGCUCAAAAUGGGAGGUAAAUUUCUUCUAAAGCUAAAUACCGGCCAGAGACCGAUAGCGCACAAGUAGAGUGAUCGAAAGAUGAAAAGCACUUUGAAAAGAGGGUUAAAUAGCACGUGAAAUUGUUGAAAGGGAAGCGCUUGUGACCAGACUUGCGCCUGGCUGAUCAUCCGGUGUUCUCACCGGUGCACUCUGCCAGGCUCAGGCCAGCAUCGGUUCUCGCGGGGGGAUAAAGGCCCUGGGAACGUAGCUCCUCCGGGAGUGUUAUAGCCCAGGGUGCAAUGCCCUCGCGGGGACCGAGGUUCGCGCAUCUGCAAGGAUGCUGGCGUAAUGGUCAUCAGCGACCCGUCUUGAAACACGGACCAAGGAGUCAAGGUUUUGCGCGAGUGUUUGGGUGUAAAACCCGCACGCGUAAUGAAAGUGAACGUAGGUGAGAGCUUCGGCGCAUCAUCGACCGAUCCUGAUGUUUUCGGAUGGAUUUGAGUAGGAGCGUUAAGCCUUGGACCCGAAAGAUGGUGAACUAUGCUUGGAUAGGGUGAAGCCAGAGGAAACUCUGGUGGAGGCUCGCAGCGGUUCUGACGUGCAAAUCGAUCGUCAAAUCUGAGCAUGGGGGCGAAAGACUAAUCGAACCAUCUAGUAGCUGGUUACCGCCGAAGU
rnacentral:rRNA from 2 species